GAUGAACGCUGGCGGCGUGCCUAAUACAUGCAAGUCGAGCGAACGGACGAGAAGCUUGUUUCUCUGAUGUUAGCGGCGGACGGGUGAGUAAUACGUGGAUAACCUCCUUAUAAGACUGGGAUAAUUUCGGGAAACCGGAGCUAAUACCGGAUAAUAUUUUGAACCGCAUGGUUCAAAAGUGAAAGACGGUCUUGCUGUCACUGAUAGAUGGAUUCGCGCUGUAUUAGCUAGUUGGUAAGGUAACGGCUUACCAAGGCAACGAUGCAUAGCCGACCUGAGAGGGUGAUCGGCCACACUGGAACUGAGACACGGUCCAGACUCCUACGGGAGGCAGCAGUAGGGAAUCUUCCUGAAUGGUCGGAAGCCUGACGGAGCAACGCCGCGGGAGUGAUGAAGGUCUUCGGAUCGUAGAACUCUGUUACUAGGGAAGAACAUAUGUUUAAGUAACUGUGCACAUCUUGACGGUACCUAAUCAGGAAGCCACGGCUAACUACGUG
rnacentral:rRNA from 1 species